UUAUUGUUAUUUGUCCUUGAAC
rnacentral:miRNA from 2 species